UACAGAGGUCCCAAGCGUUGUUCGGAUUCACUGGGCGUAAAGGGUGCGUAGGCGGUCGGGUAAGUCUGAUGUGAAAUCUCACAGCUUAACUGUGAAACUGCAUUGGAUACUAUCCGGCUAGAGGAAUGGAGGGGAGACUGGAAUACUUGGUGUAGCAGUGAAAUGCGUAGAUAUCAAGUGGAACACCAGUGGCGAAGGCGAGUCUCUGGACAUUUCCUGACACUGAGACACGAAAGCCAGGGGAGCGAACGGG
rnacentral:rRNA from 1 species